rnacentral:lncRNA from 1 species
GGCUGUGAGCCAUGGGAAGCGUGUCAACCAUGUCAAACCAAAGGAUCAAGAAAUUGAAGAUUCCGUUCACUUGCCUUGGAGUUUGAGCAGGACAUCACAACUAUUUCUAAGUAAGAAGCCACCGUCUUCCUGGCUCGAGAGUCAGAGAAUGGAGUUUGAAGCUACCAAAGCAGCUAAAAAGUGAAGAAGGGAGUGAAGGGAAAUCCAAGAAACUGGAUCACAGAGAAAUGCCCCAU